CAAUCUACAAAUUUUUGGACUAAAUUUUAGAGGAAUUUGAAUAAUCUUCGGUUGCAUUUGCACCUUAAUUACAACAUGAGAAGUGGGGAGACUAGCUUUUUUUUUCAAUGAAAAUACGUGUCACAACAUGUUCUAGCGUUUUUGAGGUUUAGUUAAUUAGCUCUGAAUCUUCUUCACUCUUACCAUGGUGGCGGGUGACACAAGUGUUGGAGCUGCCUACCUUCCGAGUGCAACUUGGACUCUGCAUGCCGACGAUGCCGUCCCAACCUUGCCUUCCACUUCUGCUAUCCGGCAGAAAGGCCUCCUCGAUCUUCCGGCCAAUAUGGCAAGCAUGAGUCACGCUACACUGAGCAUCUUUGCGCUAUACCACUGCAUGUUUAUAAAACGAAAGAUGGCACUUCCU
rnacentral:lncRNA from 1 species